GUUUAUGACCAUACCAGCCUGAAUCUGUCUGAUCUUGGAAACUAAGCAGGAUUGGGCCUGGUUAGUACUUGGAUGGGAGACCGCCUGGGAAUACCAGGUGCUGUAAGCU
rnacentral:rRNA from 1 species